rnacentral:lncRNA from 1 species
AGUUAUUUGGAAGCGAGAAUGUGUUGCUAUCGAAUCCCACCCAAAACUUCCGGCCGUUGGAUCUGGAGUGAAAUGACGAACAUCAGCGGAAAAAUUGCCAACGGGAUUUUCUGAAC